UGCUUUGCAUGGUGGCAUUAUCAUAGACAAUGAGGUUUAACUGAGUCUCGAUUAUUGCUAAUUGAAAACUCAAA
rnacentral:snRNA from 1 species